rnacentral:tRNA from 1 species
AUUCAUAUAAUUUACGUUAAGAAUAUUACAUUGAAGCUGUAAAAGAGACAUUGCUGUCUGUGAAUA